rnacentral:rRNA from 1 species
UACGUAGGGGGCAAGCGUUAUCCGGAUUUACUGGGUGUAAAGGGGGCGCAGACGGCAUAGCAAGUCUGAAGUGAAAGCCCGUGGCUCAACCGCGGAACUGCUUUGGAAACUGUUAAGCUGGAGUACUGGAGAGGCAAGCGGAAUUCCUAGUGUAGCGGUGAAAUGCGUAGAUAUUAGGAGGAACACCAGUGGCGAAGGCGGCUUGCUGGACAGAGACUGACGUUGAGGCUCGAAAGCGUGGGGAGCGAACAGG